rnacentral:rRNA from 1 species
UACAGAGGUCCCGAGCGUUGUUCGGAUUCACUGGGCGUAAAGGGUGCGUAGGUGGCAAGGUAAGUUUGAUGUGAAAGCUCAGGGCUUAACCCUGAAAUGGCAUUGAAUACUACUGUGCUGGAGGUUUGGAGGGGGGACUGGAAUUCUUGGUGCAGCAGUGAAAUGCGUAGAUAUCAAGAGGAACACCAGUGGCGAAGGCGAGUCCCUGGACAACACCUGACACUGAGGCACGAAAGCUAGGGGAGCAAACAGG